rnacentral:rRNA from 1 species
AGAGUUUGAUCAUGGCUCAGGAUCAACGCUGGCGGCGUGCCUAAUGCAUGCAAGUCGAACGUGGCGGCCUUCGGGUCGCUUCCGUGGCGGACGGGUGAGGAACACGUGGGCGAUUUGCCCUGAGGUGGGGGGUAGCCGCCGGAAACGGUGGGUAAUUCCGCAUGAGCUCGCGCGCUGGUGGGGUGCGUGAGGAAAGGGUCGCAAGACUCGCCUUGGGAGACGCCUGCGGCCGAUUAGCUAGUUGGUGGGGUAACGGCCUACCAAGGCGGUGAUCGGUAGCUGGUCUGAGAGGACGGCCAGCCACACGGGGACUGAGACACGGCCCCGACUCCUACGGGAGGCAGCAGCAAGGAAUUUUCCGCAAUGGGCGAAAGCCUGACGGAGCAACGCCGCGUGGGGGAGGACGCCCUUCGGGGUGUAAACCCCUUUUCUUGGGGACGACGACCGACGGUACCCGAGGAAGAAGGACCGGCUAACUACGUGCCAGCAGCCGCGGUAAUAC